rnacentral:rRNA from 1 species
CUUGCAACCAUAAGAGGUCCAGCCUGCCCAGUGAUCUAAUUCAACGGCCGCGGUAUCCUAACCGUGCAAAGGUAGCGUAAUCACUUGUUUUCUAAAUAAAGACUAGUAUGAAAGGCAUCACGAGGACUUAACUGUCUCCUUUCUCCAAUCAGUGAACCUAAUCUUCCCGUGAAAAAGCGGGAAUACACCUAUAAGACGAGAAGACCCUGUGGAGCUUUAAACAUAAUAACACCUGCCACCAUCUCUAACAACCCCGGUACCUCCUCCAAGCGGCACCCUGAUUAUAUGUUUUUGGUUGGGGCGACCGCGGAGAAAAACUCAUCCUCCGCAAUGAACGGGACUUCUUCCUUAAACAAUAAGUCACAACUUUACGUAUUAAAAAAUUAACAUUCCUUGACCCAAUAAAUUGAUUAAUGAAC